UACGAAGGGUGCAAGCGUUACUCGGAAUUACUGGGCGUAAAGCGUGCGUAGGCGGUUUUUUAAGUCCGUUGUGAAAGCCCUGGGCUUAACCUGGGAAUGGCAGUUGAUACUGGAAAGCUAGAGUGCGGUAGAGGGUAGUGGAAUUCCCGGUGUAGCAGUGAAAUGCGUAGAGAUCGGGAGGAACACCAGUGGCGAAGGCGGGUCCCUGGACCAGCACUGACACUGAGGCACGAAAGCGUGGGGAGCAAACAGG
rnacentral:rRNA from 1 species